ACUGGUUUCUUGACACCUCACUUCACGAAUUUGGUCGGUGAAGAGGUAGUUGAAGUAGCCAGCGA
rnacentral:pre_miRNA from 1 species